AGGCUCUGGGCAGGAAAUUGAAGCAAUUAAAUGCACAAAUUGUGAUCUCAUCUGUCCUCCCAGUUGAACGACGUGGCCCAGGGAGAGAGGGGAAAAUAGUGGAAGUGAACAGCUGGCUUCGCAAAUGGUGUAAACAGGAACGGUUUGGAUUCUUAGAUCACGGACUGCAGUUUCUUGAAGAUGGACUUCUGGCAAGCGAUGGGCUGCACCUCACAACGGUUGGGAGAAAUGUUUUUGCCAAAAAUCUCAGAAACCUCAUCAGGAGGGCUUUAAACUGACUAAUGUGGGGAGGGAGACAGUGCUCCUGAAGGUAGGAGUCUAUCAAUUGAUGAAGAUGAUCAUCCAAAUGUCAUAGACCAAAUGGAGCAAACAGCACACAGACCUAGUGGUGGGAGGAAAAAAUCCUUUAAUAAGAGUCACGGGGGAAUGAUUAAUGGACUUCAAUGUCUGUACACUAAUGCGCAAAGCAUGGGAAAUAAACAAGAUGAGCUUGAACUCUUGGUACAGCAAACUAAAUAUGACAUAAUAGGCAUCACUGAAACCUGGUGGGAUAAGUCCCACGAUUGGAAUGUAAUAAUGGGGGGAUACAAUCUAUUUCAGAGAAACAGACCAGACAAGAAAGGAGGAGGAGUGGCGUUAUAUGUCAGGGAUGUGUAUACCUGUGAAGAGAUCCAAGAUUUAGAACCUCAAAGCCAAAGUGAGAGCAUUUGGGUCAAAAUUAAGGGAGAGAAGAAUAACAGUGACCUCAUUGUGGGAGUUUGCUAUAGAUCCCCAAGCCAAACGGAGGACAUAGAUGAUGCCUUCCUGGAACAGAUGGCCAAGCAUGCAAAAGGAAGGGAGAUAGUAGUAAUGGGGGACUUCAAUUACCCGGAUAUUUGUUGGAUGUCAAACUCAGCCAAGAGCAUAAGGUCAAACAGAUUCCUCACUGGCCUUGCAGACAACUUCAUUGUCCAGAAAGUGGGAGAAGCAACAAGAGGAACAGCCAUUUUAGAUCUGGUCCUAACCAAUGUUGAUGACCUGGUUAGUGGGGUAGAAGUGGAAGGAUCAUUAGGCGCGAGUGAUCAUGCUCUUCUGAAGUUUACUAUACAGCGGAAAGGAGCAGCCAAGCAUACUAGGACUCAAUUUCUUGACUUUAAGAAAGCUGACUUCAUAAAACUUAGGGAAGUGCUGGGUGAGAUCCCAUGGACAGUAAUACUAAAAGGAAAGGGAGUUCAUGAUGGCUGGGAGUUUGUUAAGAGGGAGAUACUAAAAGCACAACGUCAGGCAAUACCAAUGAGACAGAAACAUGGAAGGUGCCUAAAGAAGCCAGGGUGGCUAUCUAAAGAACUUUUAACUGAGUUAAGAUU
rnacentral:lncRNA from 1 species